UACAGAGGUCUCAAGCGUUGUUCGGAUUCAUUGGGCGUAAAGGGUGCGUAGGCGGCGCGGUAAGUCGGGUGUGAAAUCUCAGAGCUUAACUCCGAAACUGCAUUCGAUACUGCCGUGCUUGAGGACUGGAGAGGAGACUGGAAUUUACGGUGUAGCGGUGAAAUGCGUAGAUAUCGUAAGGAAGACCAGUGGCGAAGGCGGGUCUCUGGACAGUUCCUGACGCUGGAUGCACGAAGGCCCAGGGGAGCAAACGGG
rnacentral:rRNA from 1 species